rnacentral:rRNA from 1 species
CCUACGGGAGGCAGCAGUGGGGAAUAUUGCACAAUGGGGGAAACCCUGAUGCAGCGACGCCGCGUGAAGGAUGAAGUAUUUCGGUAUGUAAACUUCUAUUAGCAGGGAAGAAAAUGACGGUACCUGUCUAAGUAGCCCCGGCUAACUACGUGCCAGCAGCCGCGGUAAUACGUAGGGGGCAAGCGUUAUCCGGAUUUAAUGGGUGUAAAGGGAGCGUAGACGGUAUUGCAAGUCUGAUGUGAAAACCCGGGGCUCAACCCUGGGACUGCAUUGGAAACUGGCGAACUAGAGUGUGGGAGAGGCAAGUGGAAUGCCUGGUGUAGCGGUGAAAUGCGUAGAUAUUAGGAGGAACACCAGUGGCGAAGGCGGCUUGCUGGACGAUAACUGACGUUGAGGCUCGAAAGCGUGGGGAGCAAACAGGAUUAGAUACCCGAGUAGUC